rnacentral:rRNA from 1 species
GACGAACGCUGGCGGCGUGCUUAACACAUGCAAGUCGAACGGUAAGGCCCUUCGGGGUACACGAGUGGCGAACGGGUGAGUAACACGUGGGUGAUCUGCCCUGCACUUCGGGAUAAGCCUGGGAAACUGGGUCUAAUACCGGAUAGGACCACUGCCUGCAUGGGUGGUGGUGGAAAGCUUUUGCGGUGUGGGAUGGGCCCGCGGCCUAUCAGCUUGUUGGUGGGGUGAUGGCCUACCAAGGCGACGACGGGUAGCCGGCCUGAGGGGGUAACCGGCCACACUGGGACUGAGAUACGGCCCAGACUCCUACGGGAGGCAGCAGUGGGGAAUAUUGCACAAUGGGCGCAAGCCUGAUCCAGCGACGCCGCGUGAGGGAUGACGGCCUUCGGGUUGUAAACCUCUUUCAGCACCGACGAAGCGCAAGUGACGGUAGGUGCAGAAGAAGGACCGGCCAACUACGUGCCAGCCGCCGCGGUAA